UAAACACGUAACACGUAACAAGAACAGAGAAAGUUAUGGGAGCAGAAGAUUAAAAGGAGGAACUGGAUGUCAACUGAUUUCUACCUGUUAUGUGAGACAGCAAUAAGAGGAUAUGUGGAAGCUGAUAUGAAGAGGCUCUCUGAGACUUUACACGAUUAAGUGGCAACAGGCUGACCACAUAUUGGCAACACUAAGUGUUAUUUCGCCAUCAGUCACUGAGGUGGCCGUAUUUGUUUUUCAGGGCUCUUCAAAGACUGUGGUACACGACGUGCAGCAACAAACAAUGUACAGACACAGCUGGAGUCGAGCUGAAAUACCGAAGCGGAUGGCGGAGCGGCUGGCCGAUCACGGAUGGGAAGAGUGUCUUCAUUCUCAAUGGAUCUUCAUUAUCAGGAAGCACUAAAAGAUGGCUCAGGUUGAUAGUAUUACUUGCUGCAGCUGGUAUUACGGUGUGUGUUAUUUCUUAAAUGCCAGUUCACACCAUGCCCGUUUGAAACAGUUCCACUGGACUGUGAGAGACAAUCACAAAUGAGUGUUAUUUUUGUUCCUUAGAUUCUAGAAGCUUGAUUAAAUGAACAAUUCUCAGAAUGAACAGACCUCCAACCUCCAUCUCUUAUAUUCCCAAAUUGUCAUGUAACAUCAUCAACUAUAUUUGAAUUAGAUAUUUGAACUCAAUUGAUUAUAUUCACACAAAUCUAAUUUCCCGAGCCCUUAUCUUCCUGUCCAUCUAGUGACAGUUCCAUAAGCUUGUGAAAAUCCAGAACUGGUUUCAACUUUCAACUUUCAAAACUGUUAAUUAUGUCAGAUGUCAGCUGGACAUUGAAUACAGUUUUCUUUUUUCUCCAGGAGCAAAACUUGUUUUCCCUCUGACUCUCUAUACAUACAAUUAAUAAAAUAGUAAUUUUAUUAAUUCAUCCUGAGUAGUUCUGUUUCUCAUCUCUCUCAUAAUUCACAUUUUCUCAUGUGCAAAACACAAAUCUCAGGUACUUUCAAAUGUUGUACCCAUAUACCCAUACUCCUGCUGGAUGACCUUUGGCUGGUGUUACUUAAACUUGAUAGUCUGUAAAUAUUUUUUGUGGGCUCAAUAUAUUUACACUUUUAUACUUUUUUUUUCUCUUACCUUAUUCUUUCUCUCUCUCUUUUUUUUUUUUUUAACUAACUUUUUUAAACUGCCUGACCCACAAUGGUAACAACUGAAUUUCCCCUCGGGUAUCAGUGAGUUCGUAUCGUAUCGUAUCAUUUGGUAUUGUAUCAUACCAUUUAAUAACAGAAAGUGGCUAGUGCUUGUUAAUCGAAGUUACAAACUGCUACAGUAUAGACUGGGAGCAGUUUAACCACCGGGUAUUUUCCUUCUUCCCUCUUAUAGGUGGCUGAAUUCUUCUGCUGAGUCUUUCAAGGCAAUUUAUCCCCCUGAAGCUACUACGUCCUAGCCUGGUGUAGCCACAAUCAGGUAUGAGUUUGGCAACACACCAGACAAAACGUUUGUGUGUGGGGGAAGCCGGGCUUACUAUGUUCAGGGUGGUCAUCAAAAUAGAUCGAUGCCCCGAAAAACUGUUGCUGUGUAACAUGUAUUAACUUUCACUCCCCAAUAAUAAUUUCUCACCUCUACCACUUCCUGUUGUGUUUCACAGCUCAGUGCCUCAUAACUGUGUCU